rnacentral:rRNA from 1 species
GACGAACCGUGCGAACGUUAUUCGGAAUCACUGGGCUUAAAGCGCGCGUAGGCGGCGUCGUAAGUCAGGGGUGAAAUCCCAACGGCUCAACCGUGGAAUUGCCCUUGAUACUGCGAUGCUCGAGGGAGGUAGGGGCAAGUGGAACUUCCAGUGGAGCGGUGAAAUGUGUUGAGAUUGGAAGGAACGCCGGUGGCGAAAGCGACUUGCUGGAUCUCUUCUGACGCUGAGGCGCGAAAGCUAGGGUAGCGAACGGG